rnacentral:misc_RNA from 1 species
UUAACUAUUAUAUAGUACUCAGACAGUAUAGACAAACAGAGUUUAGGUCCUCUGGCAAGCGCUCGCCGGCCGGAGCCAGCAGCCCGAGGGCAGGCCUGCCAAAGCAACAAAGGUGUAAUAAACAAAGGGUGGUAUAGAAGACCCCAGCCCAGAGGGCCGGGGGACUAUAACUUUAAUGAUCCUUCCGCAGGUUCACCUACGGAAA